AAACGCGCUACCAAGCUGCGCUACAUCCCUUCCAUUGGUCUACAGUGUCAUUGUAGAGAAUUCCUGUCUUGUUUUCC
rnacentral:tRNA from 1 species